AUGGAACCCUAUGUUGGCAUGAGGUUUGACAGCCUUCAAAUUGCUAAGGAUCACUACAACAGCUACGCACUACGGAUGGGUUUCUCUAUCAAGAUGAACACAUCUAGACGGACACCCCGCACCAAUGAAUUGAUAAAACAACAGUUUUGCUGCAACAAGUUCAAGAAGCCCAAAGCUGAUGAUGGAGGAGCUGAGGCUCCUCCUAUCCUGGACCCUAUUCUAGAUCCAAAAUCUGUUUACAGUGAUGAGGAGAUGGAAGAAGAACCUCCAAUAUUUGCUGAAGAGGAGGCUGGUACUAGUAAGAAGAAGAAGAAGCGCAAACGCGAGACAAUAAAGCAGACUCAGUGCAAAGCGAAAAUGUUGGUGAAGCUGAUAGAUGGGCGAUGGGAGGUGACGCACUUUGUUCGUGACCACAAUCAUCCGCUCGUGAACAAACCUUCAUUGUCCAAAUACUUGAGAUCCCACCAAGGCAUCUCACCUGAUGAAAAGGAGUUUCUACGCAUCUUGUAUAACUGCAACUUGACUACAGGCGAUUACAAUCCAAGUACCAUGACGGGCCGUGCUACUACAGGUGAUCGUGAUGGUCCUACUGCCCCGUUGGAGGCUGCAUCCCCUGCACAAGCUUCUGAUGAUUUUGUGCCCAGGGAUCCUCCAAGGUCUACUACAAAGGGUAGGGAAAAGAGUCGACGGUACAAAUCGGCGCUGGAGCUACACCCAAAGAAGAAAAACAAAUGCAGCCAGUGCCAAUCUACAGAGCACACUGCUGGUGUGUGUCCACUCAGGCUACUGUGA
rnacentral:rRNA from 1 species